UUGACCUCGGAUCAGGUAGGGAUACCCGCUGAACUUAANCA
rnacentral:rRNA from 1 species